UUUUUUCCAUCAUUUUAUUAUUAUUAGUAGAUUAGUGAAAAUUUAAAUUUGAAAAAUGCAUGGGAGAGACUAUUUAUAGAUUUUUUAAAAUCUAUUUGAAUAGUCACAACCCUUCAAUCUGAAUAGUCGCAUUCUUCUAAUACUCACAACUUUUCACUUUUUAAAAAAUACUUAUGAAUAGUCACAACUUUUAGACAAUUUUUAGAAGGACACAACCUUACAACAUAUAAUUUUUAGAAAAGACACAACCCUCUACACAUCUUUUUCAAAAGAUACAACCUUUCAACAUAAGUGAAGUUCACAACCUUAGGAAUUAAUUGGAAAAGACACAACCUUAGGAAUUAAUUUGAAAAGACACAACCUUACAACAUAGAACUUUUAGAAAAGACACAACCAUUUACACUUCUUUUUCAAAAGACACAAUCUU
rnacentral:lncRNA from 1 species